CCUACGGGAGGCUGCAGUAAGGAAUAUUGGUCAAUGGGCGCAAGCCUGAACCAGCCAUGCCGCGUGAAGGAUGACGGCCCUACGGGUUGUAAACUUCUUUUGUACGGGAAAAAACCUCCGGUCGUGAACCGGAGCUGAUGGUACCGUAAGAAUAAGGAUCGGCUAACUCCGUGCCAGCAGCCGCGGUAAUACGGAGGAUCCGAGCGUUAUCCGGAUUCAUUGGGCUUAGGGGGUACGAAAGCUCAGUGGUGAAAUCCUACGGCUCAACUGUAGAACUGCCAUUGAUACUGUCGUUCUUGAGUACACUUGAAGUGGGCGGAAUGUGUCAUGUAGCGGUGAAAUGCUUAGAUAUGACACAGAACACCGAUCGCGAAGGCAGCUCACUAAAUUGUAACUGACGCUCAGGCACGAAAGCGUGGGGAUCAAACAGGAUUAGAUACCCCUGUAGUC
rnacentral:rRNA from 1 species